rnacentral:tRNA from 1 species
AGGGGUAUAGCUCAGCUAGGUAGAGCACCGGAUUCCAAAUCCGGCGGUCGGGGGUUCGAUCCCCUCUGCCCCUG